UGGGGAAUAUUGGACAAUGGGCGCAAGCCUGAUCCAGCCAUGCCGCGUGAGUGAUGAAGGCCCUAGGGUUGUAAAGCUCUUUCACCGGUGAAGAUAAUGACGGUAACCGGAGAAGAAGCCCCGGCUAACUUCGUGCCAGCAGCCGCGGUAAUACGAAGGGGGCUAGCGUUGUUCGGAAUUACUGGGCGUAAAGCGCACGUAGGCGGAUAUUUAAGUCAGGGGUGAAAUCCCGGGGCUCAACCCCGGAACUGCCUCUGAUACUGGGUAUCUAGAGUCCGAGAGAGGUGAGUGGAAUUCCGAGUGUAGAGGUGAAAUUCGUAGAUAUUCGGAGGAACACCAGUGGCGAAGGCGGCUCACUGGCUCGGUACUGACGCUGAGGUGCGAAAGCGUGGGGAGCAAACAGGAUUAGAUACCCGCGUAGUCC
rnacentral:rRNA from 1 species